rnacentral:rRNA from 1 species
UGGGGAAUUUUGGACAAUGGGCGAAAGCCUGAUCCAGCAAUGCCGCGUGUGUGAAGAAGGCCUUCGGGUUGUAAAGCACUUUUGUCCGGAAAGAAAUCCUUGGCUCUAAUACAGUCGGGGGAUGACGGUACCGGAAGAAUAAGCACCGGCUAACUACGUGCCAGCAGCCGCGGUAAUACGUAGGGUGCAGCGUUAAUCGGAAUUACUGGGCGUAAAGCGUGCGCAGGCGGUUUGCUAAGACCGAUGUGAAAUCCCCGGGCUCAACCUGGGAACUGCAUUGGUGACUGGCAGGCUAGAGUAUGGCAGAGGGGGGUAGAAUUCCACGUGUAGCAGUGAAAUGCGUAGAGAUGUGAGGAAUACCGAUGGCGAAGGCAGCCCCCUGGGCCAAUACUGACGCUCAUGCACGAAAGCGUGGGGAGCAAACAGGAUUAGAUACCCUGGUAGUCGCCGCCCCUAAAACGAUGUCAACUAGUUGUUGGGGAUUCAUUUCCUUAGUAACGUAGCUAACGCGUGAAGUUGACCGCCUGGGGAGUACGGUCGCAAGAUUAAAACUCAAAUGAAUUG